CACACUCAUACUUUACGGGGGUCCUAUUACCCCCCUGAACAUUUUUUUUUACUAAUUUUCUCACCCUUAUUUGCUGACGUGUCCACAUAAAUCAGAUAUAAUUAAAUGUUUGUUUACACGCGCUGCCACAUAAUGACUGGACCCCAGAACCCACGAAUUUCCUUUAAUCUUUUCAUUUUCCUCUUUCUUUCUCUAAACCCUAACCUUUUUUCAAUCUGACCAAAUUCACCCCAUUCUCUUCGAUCUGAGAUUUCGUUCCAAUCGAAGUUUGCUGGGAAGGUUGGGGAAGGUUCGUUUAGCUUUUUUCGUUUGUUGGGUCGAAGUUUUCUCUAAGUAAAGGAACACAAAUUGUACAAUUGGAACUCAAAAAUUACUAGAUCUUUCAAGAAAGGUGAUAUUGAAGGGGCACGCAAGCUGUUUGAUUUCUGGGUAUGUAAGAAAUGGGAUGAUAUAGCUAGUGCUCGAGAGUUGUUUGAGCAUAUGCCUUGAAAAGAUGAAACCUCAUGAAACGGUAUCAUUUCCAGAUAUCAAAACGAUUUUAUA